rnacentral:lncRNA from 1 species
GCUUGAGCAAAAUGACAUCACCCAACCUAUUCGAUUAAUAUUGUUAUUUUGAACAGUAUUGGUUUUGUAAGCAUAUUGUAUGCGUGGACAGAGACUAAUAAUAAAAAGAAGGUAAGUCAACACCAAGGAUGCACGAAGACAAUGUUGUCCCUUGAAAAGAGGUCUGUACAUUUCUCACGUCAGAGGCGAGCUCUAUUCCUGGAAUGCUCCCCCUCGUAUAAGAAGCAGUGGGGCAGGUCAAACCAAUUAAGUGUUCCUAAAAACAGAGCUCACUAAACACCGUGGCUGCAGAAUAACACCACCCAGAGCCAGCCAGCAGCUUAGAGUGGUUUGAGGAGAGGAAUGACCCGGGGGACACCCAGUUAAAAGCUCCUAUUUCACUCCCCUAAGUAGCACUUUCCUUUCAAGCUGCGACCUCUAUCGCAGCCAUGGAGAAUGACAUCUCUUCCCUACUCCCUGGAGUAAGCACUCUCCUCCACCUUCUGGGCCAGACUGCAGCCAAACGAUCCAUCAGGGACUCCCAUGGGGUAGUCAGACAUCUGCCCUGAGACCUGUAACGCACGUUAACCUCCUUUAUGCUGAGGUAAACACACCACCCGUCACCUCGGAAAAUUCGCCCUUAGAGACAAGCACAUCUGGAAUCAGCCUAUAAAAGUAGUCCUGAGAUUAGCGUUGAACAAGAAGGCAGGCGAAGGAGCUCCGCCACUGAUUCCCACCUCCUGACGAUUCCCGCUCGGCAGCAAGCUUCCGCUCCCGCCCGCGGACGCCUGAACACCUCCGCGUCUGCAGCACCAGCUCACGUGGGCCACAAACAAGCCUGGGAACGCCCUGAAACCCAUCUUCACCGCGUCGCAAUCCCCUGCAUGAGGUUUUCCGCAUCUGUGUUCUCCGUGGGCAGAAUCAGAAGUGAGGAAAGGAGAGUCUCCAAUGUCGCUGCCCGGGGCGACGACGCUCGCACACCGACUGCUCGGGCACGUUUGGAGACUCUCCAAUUGUCACCAACAUUAUGGCCACUGUAGGAAUGGGAGCCGUAAACUGAAAUCCCAGAAACUUAUAAAUACAAAGGAAAUGAUCCAAGCUGCCAUCUUCCCCAGAAAGUUUACACUUCCAAGAAACCAAAAGGAGAAAGCAAGGAAAUGUCUUCUCUUGAAGCUAAGUGAAGUACGCCAAUGUUUGCUGAAAGCUUUGCUCUUUCUGUGA